rnacentral:rRNA from 1 species
GACGAACGCUGGCGGCGUGCUUAACACAUGCAAGUCGAACGAUGAAGCUGGAGCUUGCUCUAGCGGAUUAGUGGCGAACGGGUGAGUAACACGUGAGCAAUCUGCCCUUGACUCUGGGAUAACUGCGGGAAACUGUAGCUAAUACCGGAUACUUUCACCGGGGGGCAUCCUCUGGUGAUGAAAGAAUUUCGGUCAAGGAUGAGCUCGCGGCCUAUCAGCUAGUUGGUGAGGUAACGGCUCACCAAGGCGACGACGGGUAGCCGGCCUGAGAGGGUGACCGGCCACACUGGGACUGAGACACGGCCCAGACCCCUACGGGAGGCAGCAGUGGGGAAUAUUGCACAAUGGGCGCAAGCCUGAUGCAGCAACGCCGCGUGGGGGAUGACGGCCUUCGGGUUGUAAACCUCUUUUAGUAGGGAAGAAGCGAAAGUGACGGUACCUGCAGAAAAAGCACCGGCUAACUACGUGCCAGCAGCCGCGGUAA